AACAGGAUUAGAUACCCUGGUAGUCCACGCCGUAAACGAUGUCGACUUGGAGGUUGUGCCCUUGAGGCGUGGCUUCCGGAGCUAACGCGUUAAGUCGACCGCCUGGGGAGUACGGCCGCAAGGUUAAAACUCAAAUGAAUUGACGGGGGCCCGCACAAGCGGUGGAGCAUGUGGUUUAAUUCGAUGCAACGCGAAGAACCUUACCUACUCUUGACAUCCAGAGAACUUAGCAGAGAUGCUUUGGUGCCUUCGGGAACUCUGAGACAGGUGCUGCAUGGCUGUCGUCAGCUCGUGUUGUGAAAUGUUGGGUUAAGUCCCGCAACGAGCGCAACCCUUAUCCUUUGUUGCCAGCGGUCCGGCCGGGAACUCAAAGGAGACUGCCAGUGAUAAACUGGAGGAAGGUGGGGAUGACGUCAAGUCAUCAUGGCCCUUACGAGUAGGGCUACACACGUGCUACAAUGGCGCAUACAAAGAGAAGCGACCUCGCGAGAGCAAGCGGACCUCAUAAAGUGCGUCGUAGUCCGGAUUGGAGUCUGCAACUCGACUCCAUGAAGUCGGAAUCGCUAGUAAUCGUGGAUCAGAAUGCCACGGUGAAUACGUUCCCGGGCCUUGUACACGCCGCCCGUCACACCAUGGGAGUGGGUUGCAAAAGAAGUAGGUAGCUUAACCUUCGGGAGGGCGCUUACCACUUUGUGAUUCAUGACUGGGGUGAAGUCGUAACAAGGUAACC
rnacentral:rRNA from 1 species